UGCUAACUUCAUUUUUAUUUAUCAAAAUGAAAAAUUCACAAAUAACUAAAUUCAAUGCGCACUCAACACGUGCCGCCUAACACAGAACUAGAGUGCGCGGCAAUUAAUCAGUUCAUAACGUGGAUCAAGCGAUGCAAUGAUUAGAGGGGCGUUAACUAAAAAGGAAAAAAAAACAAUCUCUACUAUCAUUUCUCGGUUGCAGUUACGCCUGCAAACGUGGGCCACACAUCUGGCUGGCUCAACUUGUUGCCAACUGCCGUUACAAGCUACAACUCUGUUGUUGUCACACAAAGACUGAAAUCGAGAGUAAGGCUUAAGUGGAGCAGGGGCUGUUUGCCUUGAUCGCCGGCACUUGCAAUUAUUAAUAGAAAAAUUCACGUAAUGUUGAACGAACGACAAAAAUAAAAAAACAACUGGAUACCAGGUUAAAUAAUUGUAUGCAAACACUUUGGGAGUAACAGAUCCGUCUCAACACCUACGUGGCCCCCCUCAGUAGAGAGAAAGAGAGAUUGGCUCUCCUAUAUGUCCAGACAUCCCCUAGGCUCAGCUAGUUACGAAAUUGUCGAGUGCAAAUGGACUUAAAUGUAACGCCAAGUCGAUGCAUUUGCGAGCAUGAUAAGCGGAAAGUCGACUGGUCGGUCAGUCGAUUCAAUAAAAGUGUCAAACAAACGAUCGUCUCUGGGGCCUGCCAAUCGGUUGCCCCCCGCCCACCACAAACUCAGUCUCGGACCCAGAGUCUCGGCAUCAGCACCUCAGUCCAGGUGUAACGCAGGGGCACGCAGGGCGCUGGCUUGGAAUGAGCAAACAAAUAAACGGCUAACCGCGAACAGUGAACAGUGAACAGCGAACUGCAGUAGCCAAGUAGACAAGAGUCGACGCCGACGUCGUUGUUGUUACCGUGUCAUGUUGGCAGCCAAGCCCAAUAGCAAUUGGCCAUAAAUCUUGCCUGGCCAGUUGAGUUGCCUGUUGGCUGCCAUUCACUUUUAUUCGCAUACGGUUUUAUUCUUCGCUUGCUGCGUGACGCACGACGCAGUUCAUAGAUGGAGUCGAUUGCCGAAGUCAAUGCAACGCAAAUGAUUUCCUCCUCACCCAACGAAACAAGUUCAAGUUUACGCACUGCAAAACGGAAAAUUCAACGAAAAGGCUUCCUGCUCUACUCGAAUGUGGCCCACUGAAUGUGGCCAGCAAGAUUAACACAAGCCAAGGCCACAGCAUUCAGAGUAUUCAUUUGGGCCAACGCACAACAAACGCAUUGCACUUUGCAGGCUGCCGGUUUCUCGAUCUUGUUUUUGGCCAUUAUGCAGCUUGGCUUUUGUUUUUUUGCUUGUCUACAUUACAUGUUUAUGUUUAUGCUCAUGUGCUCAUGAUAGCGCGUGGGCGACUCAAUGAAUUACUGAAUAAGGUUAAUGGACUAACUGAUCCAAAUACGGGAAUUGAGUGUUAUACGAGGCAAGACCAAAUAUAUGACUUGUCGUAUUUCAAUUACUUGAUUUUAUGGCACAUUAUUGAGUCGUAGAGCGGUUAUAACUGCGGCUUAAGUGACUAAUUUAACACGACAUUAUGAUCGAGGCAGGAUUAAGCUUAAAGCAAAUCGAAAUAAUUUCAAUAAAAUCCAGUCUAGUGAAAGAAUUUAAAUGGUAUAAUUAUACUUUAAGCAACUAUUAUUAAAAGUAUUACCAGAAAAUAAUCAUUUUAUUUUAUUAUACCAUUAAUAUUUUUUGUAUAAAAAUAUUUAUUGGAAA